rnacentral:rRNA from 1 species
UACGUAGGGGGGCAAGCGUUGUCCGGAUUUAUUGGGCGUAAAGAGCGUGUAGGCGGCCAGACAGGUCCGUUGUGAAAACUCGAGGCUCAACCUCGAGAUGUCGAUGGAAACCGUCUGGCUAGAGUCCGGAAGAGGAGUGUGGAAUUCCUGGUGUAGCGGUGAAAUGCGCAGAUAUCAGGAAGAACACCCGUGGCUAAGGCGGCUCUCUAGUACGGUACUGACGCUGAGACGCGAAAGCGUGGGGAGCGAACAGG